AAACUGUUCUAGGUUUAAUCCCAUCUCUCCACUUCGUGAGGGUUUAGGGCUGUCCCACUGCGAAAUUGUGAAGUGCUUGAGGACUUUGUGCCCUUUCCGUAAAUCUGCAUCUAUGUAAGAUACUCAAGGGAAUGAGCCUACCUACAAUUUAGUGUUAUGGCGUGAAACCGAAACACGGGAUUAUCUAAAGGGAGUCUGGAAGCUUGAAAAAACACCAGUAGCCUAAACAACUGCCAAUAAAACGGAAACGGAAAUGCGUUUUUUGUGUGUUGUUAAUUUAAUGGUCACAGCUGGGUCCCAUUCCUGUUAUUAGCGUAUUCCAGUAGCCUACCGGCAUAGGCUACAGACAGGUUUUGUACGGUUGUUACAAUUCAAUGCUACAUAAUAAAUGAUGCAGACUGAAUAGACCUUCCAAACAAACACAGGUAAAUGGCUAACAAACAACGAGAACUCCCAUCCUGGAUGGGAAGGAUGCGUAAAGAAGGCGACUGCUUCACCAAAAAAGUUACAACUAAAGCAAAAAAGAAGCUCUCUCCGAGGAUGACGGUCUAUCUUCUGAAUGAACGUGAACUCGUGCAAAGCGCUCUCGUCUUCGGGGACGUGGAAGACCGAAUAUGUAAAGGACUUUCAGAAAAGGUAUUCAAAACGGAUCUUCCAGAAGACAGAAUACAAGAAGGAAUCAACUCUUGUGAGCAGGGUGCCUUUGAUUUAAUGUGUGCAAGGACAUGCAUUUCAGAAACAUGGUUGGACACAGCAGACCUAGAGACUCUCCCUUAUGGUAGUAAUGACCAGGGGCACAAAUCAGGCAAUGAGAACUGUGUAACCAGUAUUUUGACAGAGCAUCCUGAUACUCCAUCUGAUGAUGAUGAUGCUUUGAAGCUUGUGAGGGAGAUUUUUUUCAAAUGAUGGAGGCCUUUAUCUUUCAAGACUAAGUUCAUUGGUCACAAUUCGGACAGAAGCCUGCAUCUUUAUAGGUAAAGCACUGGAAUGGAAUAAGAACUUUCCUGUAUAAAAUGUGUACAUGUAUUGAAGGAUGGUGAUAUCACAUACUUUAGUUUGCCCACAGCACUCAAGUUGUGGCCAGAAUACAAAAUGGUCAGUGUGUCUGUACCACCCAUACUAUUUUAA